rnacentral:rRNA from 1 species
UUCCGGUUGAUCCCGCCGGAGGCCAUUGCUAUUGGAGUCCGAUUUAGCCAUGCUAGUCGAGCGGGUUUAGACCCGCGGCGAAAAGCUCAGUGACACGUGGCCAAACUACCCUGUGGAGACGGAUAACCUCGGGAAACUGAGGCUAACCCGUCACACCGCUCCCACGCUGGAAUGCCGGGAGCCCGAAACGCUUCGGCGCCACAGGAUGUGGCUGCGGCCGAUUAGGUUGAUGGUGGGGUAACGGCCCACCAUGCCGAUAAUCGGUACGAGUUGUGAGAGCAAGAGCUCGGAGACGGAAUCUGAGACAAGAUUCCGGGCCCUACGGGGCGCAGCAGGCGCGAAACCUUUACACUGCACGAUAGUGCGAUAAGGGGACUCCAAGUGCGAGGGCAUACAGUCCUCGCUUUUCUGGACCGUAAGGUGGUCCAGGAAUAAGUGCUGGGCAAGACCGGUGCCAGCCGCCGCGGUAAUACCGGCAGCACAAGUGAUGGCCAAUCUUAUUGGGCCUAAAGCGUCCGUAGCUGGCUGCGCAAGUCCGUCGGGAAAUCCACUCGCCCAACGAGUGGGCGUCCGACGGAAACUGCACAGCUUGGGACCGGAAGGCUCGAAGGGUACGUUCGGGGUAGGAGUGAAAUCCCAUAAUCCCGCACGGACCACCGAUGGCGAAAGCACUUCGAGAAAACGGAUC